rnacentral:lncRNA from 1 species
UUUGAUAUUAUGAAUUUUGAUAUAUUUCUUUACAUUUUUAUUAAAUUUAAUACACCUUAUAUUUUGAAACAAAGUGAUUUUUUUUACAAAAUCCAAUAACACCUACGGCGCAGCGAAACGCGCCCAAACCUUCUAUUCUAAUAUUAUUUGCAAUGGAGAGUCUCAACUCUGAAACAGAAAGAUAAAAAUUUUCAACAUAUCCAAAAUAAGUGCCUUGAAUCUAUCCGUUGAUCCAAAAUAAAUUGAAAUAGAAAGAUAAAAAUAGGAAGAUUAACCCUGGUUUAUCGUACUAUUUAUGGGCAAGAACAAUGCAUUGGGAAAAAUACUGAAACAAAAGCCGACGCAAGCAGCUCUCCCGGUCACUAAGAGGUUGGAUACAAGCAUCGUGCGCCCUGCCUGCUGCUUAUCACAGCUGCCGUGCGCCCUCCUACCUGCUUGUUGCCGGAUUGGAAUUAGGGAUGCAACUAGCUGCGGUGCCAAUUCCUUGAUCGAUCAACUUCGGUUCUGCUUUGUGCGAGGUAUCGGGCUAUGGUGAAUCCUAGUUAUCGCUUUAGGCGGCGUCCGUUACCGAGUAUUUUACAAACGGGUGCCCAGCGUUGGGCCGACCAUGUAGAUUUUUCCCAUGUUUUCAAACCGCAAAAAUUGAAUGCGCUGGUCGAGAUUCGAACCGACAAUCUCCGUCAAUUCAAUAUACAUUAUAUUGGUACAUCCACCCCGCCACUACAACUUUCUCUUUCUUUUAUUAAUUUUUCUUUUUUACUUUUGUCUAUGGUUUUCCUCUUUCCUUUUCUUGUUUUCGUUAUCUUAUUUUUUAUUUUCUUUCUUCCUCCUGAUUGUGAACUUUUUCUUCAAAUUGAU